rnacentral:rRNA from 1 species
UGGGGAAUUUUGGACAAUGGGCGAAAGCCUGAUCCAGCAAUGCCGCGUGUGUGAAGAAGGCCUUCGGGUUGUAAAGCACUUUUGUCCGGAAAGAAAUCCUCUGGGUUAAUACCUCGGGGGGAUGACGGUACCGGAAGAAUAAGCACCGGCUAACUACGUGCCAGCAGCCGCGGUAAUACGUAGGGUGCAAGCGUUAAUCGGAAUUACUGGGCGUAAAGCGUGCGCAGGCGGUUUUGUAAGACGGAUGUGAAAUCCCCGGGCUUAACCUGGGAACUGCAUUCGUGACUGCAAGGCUAGAGUAUGGCAGAGGGGGGUAGAAUUCCACGUGUAGCAGUGAAAUGCGUAGAGAUGUGGAGGAAUACCGAUGGCGAAGGCAGCCCCCUGGGCCAAUACUGACGCUCAUGCACGAAAGCGUGGGGAGCAAACAGGAUUAGAUACCCUGGUAGUCCACGCCCUAAACGAUGUCAACUAGUUGUUGGGGAUUCAUUUCCUUAGUAACGUAGCUAACGCGUGAAGUUGGCCGCCUGGGGAGUACGGUCGCAAGAUUG